AUUUAGAUAGUUUAAUAAAAAUAUUGAUUUGUGGUAUCAAAGAUAUAAUUAUAUUCUAAAUA
rnacentral:tRNA from 1 species